UCUUCAGUAGUUUCAAUGGUUAGAACAUGUGUCUGUUAAACACAGAGUAGGGGUUCAAAUCCCUUCUGGAGAG
rnacentral:tRNA from 1 species